rnacentral:lncRNA from 1 species
AGGGGCUGGGUAUAAUGAGUCUAAGGUCUUAGUCAUGAAUUCUUUGCCUAGGCCAAUGUCCAGAAGAGUUUUUCCUAGGUUAUCUUCUAUAAUUUUUAUGGCAUUGGGUCUUAUACUUAAGUCUUUGACCCAUCUUGGGUUGAUCUUUUAAAUAUGAUGAGAGAUAGGGAUCUAGUUUCAUUCUUCUACAUGUGGCUAGAAGUUUUCCCAGCACGAUGUAUUAAAUAGGGUAUCCUUUCCUCAAUUUAUGUUUUGUAUGCUUUUUUGAAGAUCUGUUGCUUUUAAAUAUUCGACUUUAUUUCUGCGUUCUUUAUUCUGUUUCAUUGGUCUAUGUGUCUAGUUUUAUAUCAGUAUCAUGCCAAGUUUUUGUAAAUACAACUUAGUGUGUUCCAGAAACAUACCGGUAAUUAAUUAGACAUGAUACUGCAACAAACAAGCAAGCAAACAAACCCUGAAAUGUAUUUAUUGGCAUGGAAAAAUGUUACUGAUCCCUCUGUAUACUUUAACAAUAAUACGUAGGUUAUGGAUGUAGUUUGCUUAAAAGAGGACAGGAACACAUAUAUUAAUAGUUGCACAUUUUGAUGUACUGACAUAUAUGUUUUAAUGUCUUUUUUGGCUUAUUUAUGUUUUUUAAUUUUUUCUACAUGUAAUCUCUGUUACUUUUAUAACUGAAUAAAAGUAACUGGAGUUUUGGUCUUCUUGCAGUUCAUUCCUAGUAUCAAUAAGGGAACUGCACUGAGUGAGCUCUGGUCUCACUGGAGCAUAGAAUUGUCUAGUUCUAUUUAGUCUGUUUCUAUAUACAU